rnacentral:rRNA from 1 species
GACAGAGGGGGCAAGCGUUGCUCGGAAUCACUGGGCGUAAAGGGCGCGUAGGCGGGAUGGCAAGUCAGUCGUGAAAUCUCUCGGCUCAACCGAGAAACGUCGGCUGAUACUGCCGUUCUUGAGGGAUGCAGAGGAGACUGGAAUUCCCGGUGUAGCGGUGAAAUGUGUAGAUAUCGUAAGGAAGACCAGUGGCGAAGGCGGGUCUCUGGACAGUUCCUGACGCUGAGGCACGAAGGCCAGGGGAGCAAACGGG